GGUCCAGACUCCUACGGGAGGCAGCAGUGGGGAAUUUUGGACAAUGGGGGCAACCCUGAUCCAGCAAUGCCGCGUGAGUGAAGAAGGCCUUCGGGUUGUAAAGCUCUUUUGUCAGGGAAGAAAAGGCCGCAGCUAAUAUCUGUGGCUCAUGACGGUACCUGAAGAAUAAGCACCGGCUAACUACGUGCCAGCAGCCGCGGUAAUACGUAGGGUGCAAGCGUUAAUCGGAAUUACUGGGCGUAAAGCGUGCGCAG
rnacentral:rRNA from 1 species